rnacentral:rRNA from 1 species
UACAGAGGUCUCAAGCGUUGUUCGGAUUCAUUGGGCGUAAAGGGUGCGUAGGCGGUAAAGUAAGUUGGAUGUGAAAUCCCGGGGCUUAACCCCGGAACUGCAUUCAAUACUGCUAUACUAGAGUACUGGAGAGGAGAUUGGAAUUCACGGUGUAGCAGUGAAAUGCGUAGAUAUCGUGAGGAAGACCAGUGGCGAAGGCGAAUCUCUGGACAGUUACUGACGCUGAGGCACGAAGGCUAGGGGAGCAAACGGG